AAUCUGUUGUGUGGGAAUUUUCUUAACAUCAUCUUGAAACGUUCUCACGCCUUGUAUAGGGAUUCACCUUCAUAUUGUUUAAAGUUAACGAUUUUGCCACCUAAGUU
rfam:Gossypium arboreum cultivar AKA8401 contig_12352_15, whole genome shotgun sequence.